AGAGUUUGAUCAUGGCUCAGAUUGAACGCUGGCGGCAGGCCUAACACAUGCAAGUCGAACGGUAACAGGAAGCAGCUUGCUGCUUUGCUGACGAGUGGCGGACGGGUGAGUAAUGUCUGGGAAACUGCCUGAUGGAGGGGGAUAACUACUGGAAACGGUGGCUAAUACCGCAUAACGUCGCAAGACCAAAGAGGGGGACCUUCGGGCCUCUUGCCAUCAGAUGUGCCCAGAUGGGAUUAGCUAGUUGGUGAGGUAACGGCUCACCAAGGCGACGAUCCCUAGCUGGUCUGAGAGGAUGACCAGCCACACUGGAACUGAGACACGGUCCAGACUCCUACGGGAGGCAGCAGUGGGGAAUAUUGCACAAUGGGCGCAAGCCUGAUGCAGCCAUGCCGCGUGUAUGAAGAAGGCCUUCGGGUUGUAAAGUACUUUCAGCGGGGAGGAAGGUGUUGUGGUUAAUAACCACAGCAAUUGACGUUACCCGCAGAAGAAGCACCGGCUAACUCCGUGCCAGCAGCCGCGGUAAUACGGAGGGUGCAAGCGUUAAUCGGAAUUACUGGGCGUAAAGCGCACGCAGGCGGUCUGUCAAGUCGGAUGUGAAAUCCCCGGGCUCAACCUGGGAACUGCAUUCGAAACUGGCAGGCUUGAGUCUUGUAGAGGGGGGUAGAAUUCCAGGUGUAGCGGUGAAAUGCGUAGAGAUCUGGAGGAAUACCGGUGGCGAAGGCGGCCCCCUGGACAAAGACUGACGCUCAGGUGCGAAAGCGUGGGGAGCAAACAGGAUUAGAUACCCUGGUAGUCCACGCCGUAAACGAUGUCUACUUGGAGGUUGUGCCCUUGAGGCGUGGCUUCCGGAGCUAACGCGUUAAGUAGACCGCCUGGGGAGUACGGCCGCAAGGUUAAAACUCAAAUGAAUUGACGGGGGCCCGCACAAGCGGUGGAGCAUGUGGUUUAAUUCGAUGCAACGCGAAGAACCUUACCUGGUCUUGACAUCCACGGAAGUUUUCAGAGAUGGAAUGGUGCCUUCGGGAACCGUGAGACAGGUGCUGCAUGGCUGUCGUCAGCUCGUGUUGUGAAAUGUUGGGUUAAGUCCCGCAACGAGCGCAACCCUUAUCCUUUGUUGCCAGCGGUCCGGCCGGGAACUCAAAGGAGACUGCCAGUGAUAAACUGGAGGAAGGUGGGGAUGACGUCAAGUCAUCAUGGCCCUUACGACCAGGGCUACACACGUGCUACAAUGGCGCAUACAAAGAGAAGCGACCUCGCGAGAGCAAGCGGACCUCAUAAAGUGCGUCGUAGUCCGGAUUGGAGUCUGCAACUCGACUCCAUGAAGUCGGAAUCGCUAGUAAUCGUGGAUCAGAAUGCCACGGUGAAUACGUUCCCGGGCCUUGUACACACCGCCCGUCACACCAUGGGAGUGGGUUGCAAAAGAAGUAGGUAGCUUAACCUUCGGGAGGGCGCUUACCACUUUGUGAUUCAUGACUGGGGUGAAGUCGUAACAAGGUAACCGUAGGGGAACCUGCGGUUG
rnacentral:rRNA from 1 species